rnacentral:snRNA from 8 species
AUCGCUUCUCGGCCUUUUGGCUCAGAUCAAGUGUAGUAUCUGUUCUUAUCAGUUUAAUAUCUGAUACGUCCCCCAUCGGGGGACUACAUAUUGAAUGGAUUUUUCGAACAGGGAGUCGGAAAUGGGGCUUGCUCCGUCCGCUCCACGCAUCGACCCGGUAUUGCAGUACCUCCGGGAACGGUGCAACACUU